rnacentral:rRNA from 1 species
UACGUAGGGGGCAAGCGUUGUCCGGAAUCAUUGGGCGUAAAGCGCGUGUAGGCGGUUCGGUAAGUCGAUUGUGAAAGCCCUGGGCUUAACCUGGGAAUUGCAGUCGAUACUGCUCGGCUAGAGUAUGGGAGAGGGUAGUGGAAUUCCCGGUGUAGCGGUGAAAUGCGUAGAUAUCUGGAGGAACACCGGUGGCGAAGGCGGCAUCCUGGACCAACACUGACACUGAGGAGCGAAAGCCAGGGGAGCAAACGGG